ensembl:lncRNA
GCAUAACGAGCAAAAGAACACCUAAACCUAUCCACCAUUAUGGUGAUACUGACGACAGUGACAGAGAGCCUGCACCCAAGAAGGCCCCAACACCAUCAAUACGGCCGUCUUCAGGACCGUCAUUACCAUCACGAUCAACCAACUCCGUGGCCAUCCUACUUCGCCCAACCUCCAUUACCACCACCUCCAGGGCCAUCCUCAUUUUCUCCACUUCCACCACGCUCCCCUUCAAGGCCCCCCUCAGUUUCUACACCUCAUCAGCAGUUAUUCCAACCUCCUUACACCUGUUCAUCUCAGGACAACUACAUCGAUCCAUCUCCGUGCCAUCCACCUCCCGGGAUGUCCUCUGAUGGCUUAGCUAGUUAGAGAUAGAGCCACCGUAUUUAUGCCCAGCCUGAAUAUGGGGCGUUCUGGGAAGGACCCAAUAAUCUGCACAC